rnacentral:lncRNA from 1 species
CCCUACAAGUGCCUGUAGGGCUGGGAAUAAACAUAUAAAUGUACCCAUGGAAUGGUCUGGAAUGUUCUCUGUGCCCUACAAAUACCUGUAGGGCUGGGAUAAACCUGUAAAUGUCCCCAUGGAAUGGUCUGGAAUGUUCUCUGUGCCCUACAAGUGCUGUAGGGCCGGGAGUGAAGGUCCCAUGGGGCGUGCUGUGUGACCCCAGCCAUGGUGCCACCAGGGCAGGUGGCACUGCCAGGGAUGGCGUGCAGCCAGGGCUGUGCCCCACAUGUCCCCACAGUGUUCUUGUGCCCCACAGCCUGUCCUUGUGUCCCCACAGUGUUCUUGUGCCCCACACCCUGUCCCCAUGUCC